rnacentral:rRNA from 1 species
AGAACGAACGCUGGCGGCAGGCUUAACACAUGCAAGUCGAACGGUUGUAGCAAUACAGUAGUGGCAGACGGGUGGGUAACACGUGGGAACCUUCCUAGGGGUACGGAACAACUCAGGGAAACUUGAGCUAAUACCGUAUACGUCCGUAAGGAGAAAGAUUCAUCGCCCCUAGACGGGCCCGCGUAGGAUUAGGUAGUUGGUGAGGUAACGGCUCACCAAGCCUACGAUCCUUAGCUGAUCUGAGAGGAUGUUCAGCCACACUGGGACUGAGACACGGCCCAGACUCCUACGGGAGGCAGCAGUGGGGAAUCUUGGACAAUGGGCGCAAGCCUGAUCCAGCCAUGCCGCGUGAGUGAAGAAGGCCUUCGGGUUGUAAAGCUCUUUUACCGAGGACGAUAAUGACGGUACCUGGAGAAUAAGCCCGGACAAACUUCGUAGCCAGCAGCCGC